GAUGGCUCAUAUCGAAGCCUCUCGUGUUUUUGUACAUGUCUGAGGUCAUAAUGAAGCCUAAAUAAUUAUCUAUUAGACGGUCGCUGGCUGCAUGUGCACCUGCUUCUGGCAUUACCAAAUGAUAGAUACAUAU